AGUAAUGGAAACAUUAAAGAGGGGCAGUUGGUACCCUGGGGCGAUACAAGGCGGUGAGUGGACAAUAGGGGUAAAGAUGUUAUCUCCCUUUGUGGUGGCUGAGCCUGGGAAUGGACUCCGAUUACGAAAUGGGGGGCUGGGGUACGGUUGUUAAUUGAAAGGCCAGUACACUCGGCCAUGAGAACAGCGGUUUCUUGUUUCAUUGCCACCGACUGGACCCCGGUGCUAAAGGAGAGAACCAGACUAUGUGUCGCGACCGUCGAAGGUUGAUGUGGCCGACCGUUAGAAAGAGGAACAUAGACAGUAUCAUGUGAUAACUAGUAUAGGGCUAUAGUGUUGGUAUCUCGCUUCUGCUCCCUCCACAGAACAGGCGGACGCGCUGGUUUGCAGACUGUCAGAAGGUGGAAUGGGUAAUUGCAGAGUGUGGUUGCAGUGAGGUAUGUCGAGACCAGUAGCCGGCCUUUGGCGGCACUGGACCGUCGGGUGGACAAAGGGCCAGGAAGUCUCGCCACUGUUUAUCUCCCCUGGAAUCAGUAAGCCCCUGACCGCAGACCGCUUACAUCAUGACGGACGCCCGUGAAUUAUAGAAGUCCGCGACAUACCUGUAACAGGACAACAACGCUACCUUUUAUUGUCACACGCUAGACACAGGGUGAAUAGAAAGCCAGACUGGACGGCGCCGAAGUCGCAGGAUCGCGUUGCUAGUGAGAGGGGGGUAAAGAGGGGGUGUAGUUUGGGGCUGGAGUAAGCCACAGGACCACCUGUCUAUCAUGCGUUAGCUACGUAUGAUUGGUUGUAGCUAGGUAGCAGAAUGGUUGAAGGUAAGACUGAAGUAUGUUUGACCAAUCGCGAGAGAGGAUGAUCCUCACAGACGAGGAUUUAGUGGGGUGAUCGGUCAAGACUCGUUGUCUUUCGCACUGAUGCUCGAGGAGGAAGGUUGUAGCCGAAAUCUGUUCAGGGCUGUUCAGAUUCUCUGCUGUGAGUUUGUCUGGGAAUCGUGACAACUCCAGCACAACCGACAGAUAGAAACGCUUGUCGCAGUUUUAUCGACGAUGGGAAGUGUGUGCCGUACUGCCCGCCAACCAUUAUUUACGACUUUCGACAGAUGAUCAACAUAAUAAAUCCCGAUGCCAAGGUUGCAUAUGGCGGCAUCUGCGUUAAAGAAUGUCAAGUAGCCGAAACUUUACAAGGAGAUUCACGGUCUAUGAAGUACAGUUUGGGAGCAACAGCCCCGCAAGAUGACAAAGGUGCCGGACAAUUAUUGCCACGAUAAUUUAUACAGCGACUCACCUGCACGUCCGCAAAGUUGGCUGAGCGGGAGAUAAGGUAGGAAUAUUUUAAUUUAAAUUUUAAAUACCGGUUUUCUAUUUAAAAUGGAAUACUGAAGUCGCGUGGACAGAUCUGCCGUUGAA